CCGCUGCCGCGAUGCCAGCUGCAGUGGGGGAAACGCAGCUGAGGCUCACGGCUCCACGGAGCCCGCAGGAGCUGGCUACAGG
rnacentral:miRNA from 1 species